rnacentral:lncRNA from 1 species
AUGAUUUUCUUUAAAUAUUUUAUAUUUUUAGAAUAUGUUAUAUUUUUUGGAAAAAUAAAUGUCAGGGUCCAUAACUGUUUCUUUACCAUUUUUAAGUUCAUCAUUGAUCAACAACAAAGACUAUAAAAUAAUCCAUAGAAAACACGAGAGAAGACUUCCUCAUGUUUGAGAUGCGAUAAUUUUUAACACAGCGAUAAUAAUCAUGAACAAAUACCUGCAUCACAUUUAGUAAACUACAUAAACGUUGUACAUUUCUACUAGAUCAACCAUAUACUUGUGCCAUUCAGCAUGUUAAAAUUAUAUCAAAUUGAAUAGCUAUCUGCUAUACUUAUGCAUGUUAUUUUUCAUAUUGUACACUAAAUGUUUUUUUUUUUUCUAUUUUGACAGAUGGUUGUCUAAUGUUAUAUAUCUGUAAUGUAAUGCCCUAUUUAAUGAAAACGAUGCAUUGAUCCCUAUAUGUCAGUAUUCAAAACAGAUAUACUAAUGUAACUACUCUUACAUUCCGUGAAAUUUGUCCACUAUACAAACCACAGGCUAUAAAAGGUUUUAUGUACUACAUUGGCAGGAUCAAUUUUGCAAGUUAUGCCAAUAUCAGCAUAAUUUAAAAGUAGUUUUACCUUCCUCUAAUAAAAAGUCCAAAUUAUAUAUUGUUUUUAACUUUUUUUCACACACUGCUUUCAAAGUGCCCCUCCCUCUUAAAACCAGUUAAGAUAAGUGACUUACGAUCACAAAUUAGAUAUAUAGUGGUGAUGUACUUAUACUCUGACAUCAAUUGCUUUUUGAUAUAUAAACCAAUAUAUACAUGAUAUAUCGCCACCGUGUACAUCCU